GAUGAACGCUGGCGGCGUGCCUAAUACAUGCAAGUCGAGCGAACAGACGAGGAGCUUGCUCCUCUGACGUUAGCGGCGGACGGGUGAGUAACACGUGGAUAACCUACCUAUAAGACUGGGAUAAAUUCGGGAAACCGGAGCUAAUACCGGAUAAUAUAUUGAACCGCAUGGUUCAAUAGUGAAAGACGGUUUUGCUGUCACUUAUAGAUGGAUCCACGCCGCAUUAGCUAGUUGGUAAGGUAACGGCUUACCAAGGCAACGAUGCGUAGCCGACCUGAGAGGGUGAUCGGCCACACUGGAACUGAGACACGGUCCAGACUCCUACGGGAGGCAGCAGUAGGGAAUCUUCCGCAAUGGGCGAAAGCCUGACGGAGCAACGCCGCGUGAGUGAUGAAGGUCUUCGGAUCGUAAAACUCUGUUAUUAGGGAAGAACAAAUGUGUAAGUAACUAUGCACGUCUUGACGGUACCUAAUCAGAAAGCCACGGCUAACUACGUG
rnacentral:rRNA from 1 species